rnacentral:RNase_P_RNA from 1 species
GCAAUAAUCCGGUCUGCCGCCGGCGGGGGACACCCGCAGGAGGAAAGUCCGGGCAACACAGAGUACCAUACCGGUUAACAGCCGGCAGGCAGCAAUGUUUGGCAAACGGCACAGAAAACAACCGCCUCUCCUGGGGAGAAGUAAGGGUGAAAAGGUAGGGCAAGAGCCUACCGGUCUUGUCGAAAUACAAGGCGUCAAGUCGUUCUAUGGGUUGAAAGUUCAAGUAAACCGGUGUUUGGUGAAAUGCCAUGAAGAGUUACUCGCUCAAGCCGGAGGGUAGAACGAUAGAGUUUGAAGUAAUGAGCAAACCGUAGAUUAAUGACAGACUUUUCUUUAUGAAAAAACAGAACUCGGCUUAUAGGUCAGACUGUUGCUUAU